ACUCCUACGGGAGGCAGCAGUGGGGAAUAUUGGAUAAUGGGCGAAAGCCUGAUCCAGUAAUGCCGCGUGAGUGAUGAAGGCCUUAGGGUUGUAAAGCUCUUUUACCCGGGAUGAUAAUGACAGUACCGGGAGAAUAAGCUCCGGCUAACUCCGUGCCAGCAGCCGCGGUAAU
rnacentral:rRNA from 1 species